UCUUUUUUUUUUUUUUCUUUUACAUUGAUGCCAAUAAAGCUAGAUUGAUUUGAAUUGAGUAGCUUGUUAGCUAACAUGGAACAACAUGUGAAUCAGAGUCGAGCUGGUUGAAGGUGGAUGUUUUCUCUUUUGAUGGAGCUAAGCUAACAGCUCCCCCUGCUAACAGUCUUUGUGCUAAGCUAAACUGAUUGUUUCAUCUGAGUCUGGAUAAGAUGGCAGACCAACAGGAGCCAGGUGAACAUAUGGAGUCCUAAAGCAGCACGUGUAACUGAUAUCUACAGUAAACCCUUCACACCUCACACUGUAACCAACAGAACCGUGGAGACAACAAGCCUCUCAUUUGGCAGCUGUGCUGUCGGAAAAACACCUCACAUAAUCGCCCAGCUGGAUCUGGUUUCAGCCGCUGCCAUCCGAUCCUCCUGCCCGGGAAACCUACUCCUGAUGGAGACGACACUCUCUGGACAUGGGUCAGACGGGAUGAGCGCUCCUGGUCCAAAACCCGGUCCACGCAGGAACCAGGACUCCACUGCUGUUUCUCCAAACUACAAAUUCUCUGGAAUAAACCUGACCCCAAAGCCUUCAGAUGUUCUCUGGGCUGCAAACGCCAACAGACUGAAGGAACCACAGGGAGGUUCAUAAGACCAAGCCGUCCAGCUGCCGUGUUGACUCACUGAGAGCUGGUUCCAGUCCGCACAGAGUCUGCAUGACGGGGUUUGCACGCGGUGGCUCCGCCCCUUCCUCAGCCAGGCUGCAGCACGUUGAGUUCAAGCCAAGAUGACGGAGGUCCUGACUGCUCUAACCUGUUUGUCACCAAUAUUAGCUUAAGCCUACAACAUUUGAACCCCCCCAGCCAGUGACCCUGUGCAAACACUGUCCUCCUCUUGCACUCUAAGAUGUUUAAAGCUGGAUUAGUAACUCUUACUUCAUGGGAUAUUUGGGGUCAGUGCACAUAUUAUCUUUUUAAUGAAGCAUUACGUUCUAAAAGUGCCGGAGUGGUGAAGCAGCUCCACCACAGUUCUUCAAGAGUUUCUUUUACUGUCAUUCAGUGAAACACAGGAAUAUGUACAGCAUAAAUGAAAUUAGGAGCAUGGCUCCUUUAAAAACAGAUGGAAAACAGGGUAAUAAAAGAGAGCUCCAAAACAUGCACUGAAUAUAUAAAUACCAGAUAAAUAGUUUCCAUCAGCUGUACACACGACUAUUUGUGAUGUAUUGCCCUUAAAUAAAUACAUCACCAAUACUGUACUUAAAAAUGAUAAUAAAGCACAGAUUAGUUACACUUCAUUUCCUGCAUCCUGGUGAAAGUUUCUGCACCGGGCAGAUACAGCUUUAACAUGUGGCGUGUGCUCCCGCGGACGGCAAACGCUUGUCGGCACAACGCCUGUAUGCUCUGCUGUCCAGUCUUUGUGGCCACUAAAAUCUGACUUCAGGUCUGCUAACCCCUUACAGUCUAUGACACUAGCAAUCUACAAGCUAGCUAGCUAGUUAGCGACCGUAAGUGCUACUAGCGUCUACUAUACAAUAGUGUGACGCCUGAGCAACAACAGGCUGGUUUCUUCUGUAUUUGCUUUGCUUUGCAUGUUUUCUUAAUGUGCAAAUAAACCUUUCUGAAGGCA